ensembl:lncRNA
CUCUAGUAUGUCUUUCAUUAGUUGGUCCCUGUAUUCCCUACAUUUUGUCAAAUGAUAGGUCUGAAAACUUUUCAAGUAUUUAUGCUAACAAAGCACCUUGUGACUUCAUAGAGAGUAUCAUCAUACUCACUUGGAGAGAGAACUAACACCACCAUUCAUUGUGAAUAUACUACAUGCCACACACUGUUUUAGGUGGUGCUUAUUCUAUCCUCACAGUAGCCCUCCAACUUAGUUAUUAUUGUUCCCAUUUACAGAAGAUGCAACUGAACCUGGGCUUGUAAAUUUAAUUAAUUUAUUCACACAUGUGAUAGCUGCUGUGUCAGCUAGAGAAAGAAACACCAACUGACUGGCUUAGCAAAUGCUGGGUGUAACUGAGAGGAUUUACUGAAGACAGAAGACCCUGGGUAUGCGUGGCACCAACCCAUAGGUCUGUAGCCUGAAUGGAAUAAAAAAGGGAAAGAAGGAAGGCUAGCUUAUGUUUCUUUGGAGGACCUCCAGUCUCCAUCUUCUCCUUGGACAUCCAUCUUCUGGCUUCCAGCGCUGACUCUUCAGUUUUGCAGUGCAGACCCUUUGGCUUCCUGAUUCAGAUUCAAUGUUCUCAAAGAACCAGGAUGUCUUCAGCUG